GAACGGUAGCACAAAGGAGCUUGCUCCUUGGGUGACGAGUGGCGGACGGGUGAGUAAUGCUUGGGAAUCUGGCUCAUGGAGGGGGAUAACUACGGGAAACUGUAGCUAAUACCGCGUAAUAUCUUCGGAUUAAAGUGUGGGACCGCAAGGCCACAUGCCAUGAGAUGAGCCCAAGUGGGAUUAGGUAGUUGGUGGGGUAAAGGCCUACCAAGCCGACGAUCUCUAGCUGGUCUGAGAGGAUGACCAGCCACACUGGAACUGAGACACGGUCCAGACUC
rnacentral:rRNA from 1 species